rnacentral:rRNA from 1 species
UACAGAGGGUGCGAGCGUUAAUCGGAAUUACUGGGCGUAAAGCGCGCGUAGGCGGCUUUGCAAGUCGAGUGUGAAAUCCCCGGGCUUAACCCGGGAACUGCAUUCGAGACUGCAUAGCUAGAGUAUGGGAGAGGGAAGUGGAAUUUCAGGUGUAGCGGUGAAAUGCGUAGAUAUCUGGAGGAACACCGGUGGCGAAGGCGGCAUCCUGGACCGACACUGACGCUGAGGAGCGAAAGCCAGGG